UACGGAGGGAGCUAGCGUUGUCCGGAAUUACUGGGCGUAAAGCGCGCGUAGGCGGCUUUGUAAGUUAGAGGUGAAAGCCCGGGGCUCAACUCCGGAACUGCCUUUAAGACUGCAUCGCUUGAAUCCGGGAGAGGUGAGUGGAAUUCCGAGUGUAGAGGUGAAAUUCGUAGAUAUUCGGAAGAACACCAGUGGCGAAGGCGGCUCACUGGACCGGUAUUGACGCUGAGGUGCGAAAGCGUGGGGAGCAAACAGG
rnacentral:rRNA from 1 species